AAAAAAUAAAAUAGGUAAUACUUUUGUAUAUUUCUUUUAGAAAAUGAAAUUAGAGUUAUCGAGGAGGUGGUUGCGGAGGUCCAUCGGGACGCCGAAAGCGUCGACCCGAAGACAGAUGUAACUCAGAACCAUAAUAAGAACAGACGGGGACGUGGACGGGAUCGGGAACGUGGACGAGAUCGGGGACGUGGACGAGGGCCACGUCGACAUCGUGGUCGAGUGUUACAAGAAGAAGCAAAGAAGACCAUCAGCUCACCGCCACCGGCUCCGCCGACAUCGGCGCAGCAAGAUGCCCCCUCACUAGGGGGCAAUACAUUUAUAUUUAAUUUUCAUUACCAUUUUAAAUAAACAUACUUAAAUUAUAUACCAGAACCAUAAUAAGAACAGACGGGGACGUGGACGGGAUCGGGAACGUGGACGUGGGCCACGUCGACAUCGUGGUCGAGUGUUACAAGAAGAAGCAAAGAAGACCAUCAGCUCACCGCCACCGGCUCCGCCGACAUCGGCGCAGCAAGAUGCCCCCUCACUAGGGGGCAAUACAUUUAUAUUUAAUUUUCAUUACCAUUUUAAAUAAACAUACUUAAAUUAUAUACCAGAACCAUAAUAAGAACAGACGGGGACGUGGACGGGAUCGGGAACGUGGACGUGGGCCACGUCGACAUCGUGGUCGAGUGUUACAA